CUAGGACGAACGCUGGCGGCGUGCCUAACACAUGCAAGUCGAGCGAGGAGAUCCUCGGGAUGAUCCUAGCGGCGGACGGGUGAGUAACACGUGGGCAACCUGCCUCAUAGAGAGGAAUAGCCUUCCGAAAGGGAGAUUAAUACCUCAUAACAUUGCAGUUUCGCAUGGAACAGCAAUUAAAGGAGUAAUCCGCUAUGAGAUGGGCCCGCGGCGCAUUAGCUAGUUGGUGAGGUAACGGCUCACCAAGGCGACGAUGCGUAGCCGACCUGAGAGGGUGAUCGGCCACAUUGGGACUGAGACACGGCCCAGACUCCUACGGGAGGCAGCAGUGGGGAAUAUUGCACAAUGGGGGAAACCCUGAUGCAGCCAACGCCGCGUGAGUGAUGACGGCCUUCGGGCUGUAAAGCUCUGUCUUCAGGGACGAUAAUGACGGUACCUGAGGAGGAAGCCACGGCUAACUACGUGCCAGCAGCCGC
rnacentral:rRNA from 1 species